AUCUAUAGCCAUGCCACCCUGAACAAGCCCGAUGUCUGAUCUCGGAAGCUAAGCAGGAUUGGGCCUGGUUAGUACUUGGAUAGGAGACCACCUAGGAAGGCCAGGUGCUGUAGGCA
rnacentral:rRNA from 1 species